UUUCUACUCCCUCCGUCCGAAAAUACUUGUCAUCAAAAUGGAUAAAAAGACAUGUAUCUAAAACUAAAAUACGUCUAGAUACAUUUCCUUUUAUCCAUUUUGAUGACAAGUAUUUCCGGACGGAGGGAGUAUUUG
rnacentral:pre_miRNA from 1 species